GGGUUCGAUUCCGGANAGGGANCCUGANAAACGGCUACCACAUCUAAGGAAGGCAGCAGGCGCGCAAAUUACCCAAUCCUAAUACAGGGAGGUAGUGACAAGAAAUAACAAUACAGGACUUUUUGGUUUUGUAAUUGGAAUGAGUUAAGUAUAAACCCCUUUACAAGUAUCAAUUG
rnacentral:rRNA from 1 species